rnacentral:lncRNA from 1 species
CUCCGACCUCUAUGUCCUCCACCGGCAAGACAAAAUCAUCUGCCGACGAUGUGACCGGAGACGUCGAGUAGGGAGCGAUCGUGGUCGUGGGAGACUUAGUCGUCGGCUGAUCAGAGGAGGUUUUCUGACGGGUGCUUCCGGCGAGAGAGUUACGGUGAGUAGGAGCUGGGUGAUUGUGCUCCGCCGUGUAAGUGACGAUGAACAUCGUCGGGUCGGAUCUGUUUCGCUCCACUUGUUUACGGGCUAAACAUCCUUUCGAUGUACUGCAUCUGUAAUAUCCUCUGUUUUUAACAAAAGAAAGUAAAAAUUUAGAAACACAGAAUCACAAAGACAUACACAGACAAGUGUUUUGUCUUGAAAUAAUAACACAAUUAAAGAACAUUAAAUGUUUUUUACUGUAAAGAUUUAAUCUUUUUUUUCAUUGUAACAGUACCUUGGAUAGGGUGAGCCUUUGAUGGGUUUUUGUCCGUACUUUCGCCACGCCCAGACAUCGUUGUUUAAAGCUUCUGCUGCUACAUGGCACACUUUCUUAUGCUGUAUCUUUCUGCAACAAACACACAAGAGACUUUUUUAGUUUGGUUCGACAAAAGGUUUGAGCUUUUGUUGAACUGGUGAAAAGAGACAGAGAUCGAACCUUCUUUUAGAUCUAGAGGUGUUGGAGGCUCCUGUGGGUUUGCUAGUGACGCUGCCGGAAGAAGCAGAGAGAGAAAGGGGACGUUUCUGGUUUUGUCUCUGUCGGGGCUCUUCUGGGUAAUUCAGACAAGAAAACGACGAGGCGUUUGAUUCUUGCGUGAACGGCGUGUAGAGAUCUCGAGUCUCUCCGAAGACGACGGUGUUACUUCUUGGUUCGAAGGUGAAAACAGGGCUCGUGUGGGAUGAAACGUUGCUGGAGAAGACGGUGGCUGUGGUGGUUGCUGAUGAGCUGAACAUGGAUAGCGAAUCCUCCUCUGGUACGAUGUUUUUCAUCAGCGGCUCCUCCAAUGGUCCCACUCUCUCUAGCUUCUCCUCCUCCUUCUCCAUUCUCCUCUUUCUUCUCUCUCGAUCGCUUGCCGAUGUAACGGAUUCGAGAAAUAAUAGAGGCAAAAGCUGUUUAUAUACCCACUCGAGCCUAGUGGUUCGUUAUGCCCCGAGCCUUGUGUUCUAAAGCUCUCUCAACAACUUUUUGUUGUACUUAUGAAUGUGGGCCUGAUAGUCAGUCGGCCCAAGGCUCAACCCAUACUAAAAACAACGCGUUGAAGGUAAAAGCAGCAGCACCAUGGCAAUUGCUUUGCCCAUACCAUACCCCGAACUAUGGCAUGUGCCAUGUUUAGCAUUUAAUGAAAGUAAAAACUUUUUCUUCGAAACUUGUUAACCAUAUAAAUAAUCACUGUUAAAUAGAGUGAUAGUGUCAGGCAGACAGGGUCUAUUAAUGGUAAUUCAAUUGUACUAACUGAAAAAGUACUUAUUUUCUAAAGUUUAUCAGUUUCGAAUCUUUGUUUACAUUAUAAAUUAAAUAUUUUAUAUUUUUCAAAAAAUCGACUUUUAGGAUUUCGUUUGAUUUAACAUUUUUUUUGCUGCGAAAAUAUAAUUAUUGUGAAAAGAACUUAUACUGCAUACGAAUAUUGGGCAUAAAGAAUAUACAAUUAAAAUUUUCUAAAAUUAUUUAGAAACAAAAAGAGAAUAAAAGCAACAAAGAACAAUUUUUCUAUUUUUACAUAUAAUCCGAGAAUAAUUCCAUAAUCCUAUAUCCUUCCUAAAAGAAGUAUUCUUUCUGUCUACACCUCACUCUACUCCCCGGCGAAUCAUAUUCCACCGCUAGCUGUGGCAGCGCUGUUCACAACCCAAGAAAGAUCGAAACUCGCCGGAGCAGAGUUCCCGGAAAAGCUAUCUCCCACGGCGAAUUCCUCCAACCCCUCGAAGAAGUCCUCGCUCACCACCGUAUCCGACAAAGACAGCAGAUCCUCGUCUCCGACCUCUAUGUCCUCCACCGGCAAGACAAAAUCAUCUGCCGACGAUGUGACCGGAGACGUCGAGUAGGGAGCGAUCGUGGUCGUGGGAGACUUAGUCGUCGGCUGAUCAGAGGAGGUUUUCUGACGGGUGCUUCCGGCGAGAGAGUUACGGUGAGUAGGAGCUGGGUGAUUGUGCUCCGCCGUGUAAGUGACGAUGAACAUCGUCGGGUCGGAUCUGUUUCGCUCCACUUGUUUACGGGCUAAACAUCCUUUCGAUGUACUGCA